rnacentral:rRNA from 1 species
UACGGAGGGAGCUAGCGUUGUUCGGAAUUACUGGGCGUAAAGCGCACGUAGGCGGCUUUGUAAGUUAGAGGUGAAAGCCUGGAGCUCAACUCCAGAAUUGCCUUUGAUACUGCAUGGCUUGAAUCCAGGAGAGGUGAGUGGAAUUCCGAGUGUAGAGGUGAAAUUCGUAGAUAUUCGGAAGAACACCAGUGGCGAAGGCGGCUCACUGGAGCUGGUAUUGACGCUGAGGUGCGAAAGCGUGGGGAGCAAACAGG